rnacentral:lncRNA from 1 species
UUCUGGAUGAGAUUACAUUUGGCGUGGUAACUGGCCUUCAGUACAGUGUAUGGCCCCUCCCAGUGUGGGCAGGCAUCAUCCCAUCCUUUGAGGGCCAGAACAGAACAAAAGCAAGCAAAAGAAGGAAUUUUCCUCUUUUUGCUGCCUCGUUCCUUGACCUGGGCCAUCUCCCUUCAUCUCCUUACUGCUGAACUGAAAAUUCAUCAUAACCCCACUGGCUGUCAGAUCUUCAGAGUCAGACUGAUACAUCGAUGGCUUACCUGGGUUUCCAGUUUACACAUGGCAGAUUGUAGGACUUCUCAGCAUCCAUAAUCAUGUGAAGACACACCUUUGAGCCAGAAGACAGGUCCUCAGCAGACUUCAGAUCUACUGGCACUUUUAUCUUGGACUUCCUACAUUCCAGAAGUGUAUGAAAUAAACAUCUCCAAGAUAUUUUGUUAAAUAGUAGCCCAGACUAAAUCAGCUCAUGACAUCCUUGCUCAGCAUCCUCCAGAGGCAGGAAAAAGACUCAGUGUAUGUCGAAAUCUCGGGGUUUUGUCACUGACUAGAUCUUGGUCAUGGACCCCCACAGCCAAUCGUUGUGUGGAGGGAGGUGGGAUGAGGGAUGGGUCUGCUGGGAUUAACCAAAUCUAGUUCCCAUGUCCACCCUUGAGCUGGUAGUGAAAUAAUGGUAUGGCAGCUCCAUCAAUGUAGCAAUUUUGGAUUUAAGGAGCUGCACGUCCCUGGAAGAAGGGCGUAGGAGGUAUUGUUGCCAGAAGGAAAAGGAUUUUUGAGUAGAACAAAACAACAGAUGUCUACUAUCAUUAUGUCUAUGAAUUCAUUUGAAAGUAGUCAUUUGGAACUCAGCUUAUAUUUCCUAGUAAAAACAAUCACAUAACAAACCUUUAUAUUUAUGUGGUGUUCAAUGAGGCAAUUUCUUAUCCUUUAUAUUGAUUGACUCCUCCAUCCAAAUUAGGUACCUUGGAGGGGCCAGGACAAAGCCAGAGGAGGAGGAGGGGAAGCACAGGCCUGUCGGGAGCAGCCCAUUUACCAUGACACCCUAUCCCCGCAAUGGAAAUUCUCCUGUCAACAUGCUCCCCUUUCCAGAAUCUAAAGGUUCCCGGGGGCUGGCACAGCCCUGACAAAGCAUGUUCAUGGACUGGUUGAGGCCAAGGGAGACAUGACAGAGGGAGCUGCCCUCUGCCUGCUCAAACCUCAAAGUGUUACAGUGUCACCACUCAAAGUAUACACCCUUCCCAGGCUUUCUAUAGUCAAGGUGGAUCAGAAAUAAGCACCAGGAGGUUGACUGGUUGUAUUGGAACUUCAAAUUCAAAGAAAACCUUACUUUUCCAAGAAUCCCUCCUUAGCACAAGUUUGAGGCAGGCUUCUCACACACCCUGCAAGCUCUUUUUCCUCCUCCCCACUAGGGUUUUGUGGGUGAAGGACAGUCAGUGCUUCCCAAUGUACGAAGAACACCUUGUUCCCAGUAGACUAAUGAGUAGUCAGUGUUCAAAAUCCAGAUUAGUCUAACUCAAUGUUCAAAAUUUUAACAUUUGGAAACCACUUCUGACCUUGUGGGCAAAUAACAAAGGAAGAAUAAUUCAUCCAUCUAUUCAUUUACCCAACCUUAUCUUCAGUCCUUUCUGUUUAGUUCUUCAUCCUGCUAAAAAAAUAUAAACAAAUAGUUGAACAUUUCAAGCACAGGCCCAAGUGCUGCCAUCAUAAGGGGGCACAAAUGUCUGACCAAAUGAGACAUACAGUACCAUGUACUGCAAGAGGCAGGUGAACACAACUGUGGGACCAUAAAAGGCAAGACCAGCUUGGCACCAUUCCCACCACACGUGUGCAUGCACACAUGCAUAAACACAUACACAUACACAUACACAUUUCUGGAGCACAGUUUGUUCGGGUUUUUUUUUUUUUUCUGGUACCAGGGAUCAAACUCAGGACCUUGCCCUUGUGAGGCAGGCGCUGGAACCACUGAGCUAAAACCCCAGCUGGAGUGAGAUAAAUUCACAGAAGUAGGUGAACACUUUGUUCUGCCAACACUUCUGAUACCAAAUGCAUGAGAACUUUCUGCCACAACAGCCAAUUCUCCAAUUCUCUGGACACCAACUGGGUUUCCUACAAUUCAGUUAAACUCCGAUGCUAAUUCCGAGUCAGCACAGACCUCACAGGUGCAGGGCUCAGUCCCACAAGAGCACUCACCCUUCCACCUGUGAUUCUGAUGAACUGGCUGCAAAUCCGAGGUUCCCAUGACCCCCUUCUUGGUUGGGGUAAUUUGCUAGAAUAGUCUUCAGGAAUCAGGAAAAUACUUUACUUACAGUUACCAGCUUGUUAUAAUGGAUUCAACUCAGAAAACCACCAUAUGGACGAGAGGCAGAGGGCAAGGAAUAGGGGAAGUACCCUCUUCAAGUUCACCACCCUCCCAGCACCUCGAUUUGUUCACCCCCAGAAGCUCUCUGAGCCUGUGGUUUAGGGAUUUUAUAGACGUUUCACUCUAAAUUUAAAAUCACUUUAAAGUGAAAUCACCAACCAUUAGCAAUUGUUAAAUCCAUCUCCAAUCCUCUCUCCCCGCCCUGGAGGCUGGGGCUAGAACUUUCAGCUCCAACUCCCUCAUUGUUUCUCUUUCUCUAUAGACCAGCUCUCAUCCUGACGCUAUCUAGGGGUCCAAUAAGAAUUGGAACAAAAGACUUUCCUAUAACACAGGAAAUGCCAAGGGAUUUUGGAGUUGUGUCCCAGGAACUGAGGGGGAGAUUCCAAAUAUUUAUUUUUUCAUAUCAUAGGAGUUUUUUAUAGGUUAGCUCAAAAGAGUGAAAGAAGAAAGAAACAUUUUAACAUAGUAACAGUCAUUAGGCUAAGAGCUUGUCUCUCGGCAGUGUGAAGGCCUGCACGGACAUAUGUAAAGACACAAAAAUAAAGGACAAUAGCUCAGGGCAGCUAGAACAUAGCCUUCAAGUUGGGAAUAAUGGAAAAUAUAAGGCUGGAGGGGUGGGAAGGGCCCAGUUUGGAAGAAUGUUUUAUCCUAUGCAGAAGAGUUGAACUUUCUCCUGGAAACAAUGGUGCCUGAUUGGAGAUUGACUUGAUCAGAUUUAUGACUGGGAAGGGUACCUCUGCCUACAGUAGGAAGGAGUGUUGGGCAGGAGUGGAGGAAAUGAAGAGGAAGAGUACACCAUGGAUGGCAGUCAAUUCUCAGAGAAGGAAGUGGCAGUUUGGACUAGGGUAGUGUCUGAGGAAAUGGUGACAAGUGGGAGAACCAGAAGUAGUGUGCAGACCUUGGUUCCUAAUAGAAUUCUCCAACAAAGAAACCAGGGCUCUUUAAGAGACAUUUGAAUCAUAGCAGGAUAAGCUUGGAGCAUCUUGUAGUGCCAGGAAACAAGAAAGUGCUACACAAAGUCACACACACACACACACACACACACCUCAAUAAGGAUACAUCCAAGGGACACAGAACCAACUGAAGAGCUCUCAUUGGCCAAGUGGGAGCUAUAAUAAUUUGAAUAACAAAAUAAACUAGGAUUGAAUUAUAACCCAAACUAUAAAAUAAAUAUCCAUGUGUCUCUGCUAAUACAAAUACAUAGCUAAGUCAAUAAAUGAGGGAGAAGAGAUAAAUUUUCUUUCUCUUUUUCUUUUUUUUUUUGGUACUGGGGAUUGAACUCGGGUCUUUGCACUUGUGUAGCAGGCAGUGAAACCACUGAGCUAAAUCCCUGGCCCUAGGGAGAUAAAUUUUCUAUACCAGAGAAUUCCAAAUAAGUCAUAAUAAGUAACUCAACCUCAAAGAGGUAGAAUGCAACUACUUAUUUCUUAAGUAUGAGGUAUGCAGAGUGACUUCUUUCCAAUUAAUACAGAAUGGUAACAGCAAAAAAAAAAUAAUAACUUUGCAGUGGAGAAGCAUGACAAACACUAUCUAAAUCUGGUGAUCAAGGUCAACAUCAACUGUGAUAAGUCAGGUUAACAGAACGUGCCCCUGAUGUGAUAGGAUGAAGUGUAUUCAAAAAGGUAAAAUGUAGGGCUGGGGAUUUAGCUCAGUGGCACCAUGCCUGCCUUGCAAGUACAAGGUCCUGGGUUCAAUCCCCAGUACCAAAAAAAAGGUAAAAUGUCUUUCAUUCAAUAAAUCUUUAAUGCCUAUAAACUAUACAUUAAUUUGAAAAAUAUUGAGAGCCUCCUAUAGACCAGGUACAGGUCAAAUGUUGGGGAUGCUUUCUACUGGAGGGAGACAGACAAAAAUAAACAAACAUAUAUGCAACAGCUUAGAUAUGGUAAAUGGUAUGAAGAAAACUAAAGCAGGAUAGG